rnacentral:tRNA from 1 species
GGGCCGUUAGCUCAGUUGGCAGAGCAUCGGACUUUUAAUCCGAGGGUCGCAGGUUCGAAUCCCGCACGGCUCACCA